GAUGAAGAACGUAGCGAAAUGCGAUAAGUAAUGUGAAUUGCAGAAUUCAGUGAAUCAUCGAAUCUUUGAACGCAUCUUGCGCUCCUUGGUAUUCCUUGGAGCAUGCCUGUUUGAGUAUCAUGAGCAAAUCUCAAAGUCAAUUCCUUUUGUUAAUUCAAUUGGUUUUGCUUUGGACUUGGAGGUCUUGCAGAUUUCACAGUCUGCUCCUCUUAAAUGCAUUAGCUGGAUCUCAGUAAUUAUGCUUGGUUCCACUCGGCGUGAUAAGUAUCACUCGCUGAGGACACUGUUAAAAAGGUGGUCAGGAAAAUACUGAUUGAACCGCUUCUAACGGUCUAUUAAGUUAGACAAUUGACCCUUAAGUUUGAUCUCAAAUCAGGUAGGACUACCCGCUGAACUUAAGCAUAUCAAUAAGCGGAGGA
rnacentral:misc_RNA from 1 species